rnacentral:rRNA from 1 species
AGCCGCGGUAAUACCAGCUCCAAUAGCGUAUAUUAAAGUUGUUGCAGUUAAAAGCUCGUAGUUGGAUUUCUGGCUCGUGUUAUGUGUGUCCGGUCGGUCGUACGUUGCUUUCGGGUGAUGCGCGCCGUCGGUACUUGCUCGCCGGACAUCCUUCAGGAGAACUGUUCUGCCAUUUACUUGGUUGGGGCAAGGAUCCUGAUCGUUUACUUUGAACAAAUUAGAGUGUUUAACGCAGGCUUAUGUCGCGAAUAGAUUAGCAUGGAAUAAUAAGAUAGGACUUCGGCACCGUUUCGGACUUUCGGGUUCGGGUACGAUUUCUAUUUUGUUGGUUUCUAGAGCUGAAGUAAUGAUUGAUAGGGAUAGUUGGGGUGCUCGUAUUGCUGGGCCAGAGGUGAAAUUCUCGGAUUCUAGUAAGACGAACUUUUGCGAAAGCAUUCACCAAGGAUGUCUUCUUUAAUCAAGACGAAAGUUGGGGGAUCGAAGACGAUCAGAUACCGUCGUAGUCUCAACCAUAAACUAUACCAACUAGGGAUCGGACGUCGUUGAAUUAUAGGACUCGUUCGGCACCUUA